UACGUAGGUGGCGAGCGUUGUCCGGAUUUACUGGGCGUAAAGAGCGCGCAGGCGGUCGUACAAGUCGCGUGUGAAAGCCCCCGGCUCAACUGGGGAGGGUCAUUCGAUACUGAUCGACUCGAAGGCAGGAGAGGGUAGUGGAAUUCCCGGUGUAGUGGUGAAAUGCGCAGAUAUCAGGAGGAACACCGGUGGCGAAGGCGGUUCUCUGGGCCUGUACUGACGCUGAGGAACGAAAGCGUGGGGAGCGAACAGG
rnacentral:rRNA from 1 species